CACACCGAGCUUCAAGGUUAGAUCCAAGAGCAAAAGCCGGCCCAUAAAACGAAAAACGUUAGGCGUUGAGUGAAUGUGUUUGGCCAUCGAAUCGAAAUUGCAGUAGCUACGGGUUUUGUGGUCAAUUUAUCGAUCUUCGAAAUCUUCUCGUGUUCUUGAUCUCACACAGACGAAACGAUGUCGCUCGGGCCAAAUGACAGGACCGUAGCCGACGAGGGCUUGCAGAAGAAGCGUCGCGAAGGCCUCAAUGCUCGGCAACAGUUCCCCACUCCUCUUUAGACUUCCACCGUCGACAAGAAGGUACUGCAACCUCCUCUUCGUAUUCCAUGCUCUUCGCGGUUUCGGAAGCUGCUUUCAAUCGCAUCUGGAUCUUCUGAGAACACUAAAGUGGUGAUUGAUUAUGGGCCACUUCCUAUAAUUGUCAAGCUACUUAGUUCACUCAGUGAUGAUGUCGGGGAACAGGCGGUGUGGGAAUGUUGCUGGUGACUCACCUAGGUGCCGUGAUCUAGUGCUCCGCUAGGGUGCCCUCAUCCCACUAUUGGCCCAGUUGAAUGAUCAUGCAAGACUUUCAAUGCAGAGAAAUGCCACAUGGACAUUAUCAAACUUUUUAAGGGGCAAGCCACUGCCUCAAUUUGAGCACGUAAUACCUUUACUCUCUUUAUUGGUUAAUUUAAAUCAAACUUUUGGGAUAUCCUCUUUUUGCAUAUUCUUACUGCUAAUAUUAUGGUGGAUAGGUGAGGCCAGCUCUUGAGCGUUUAGUGUGUUUUUUUUUUUUUUUUUUCAAUGAUGGAGAAGUUUUGACAGAUGUAUGCUGGCAUUAUCAUAUCUUUCUACGAAUUCAACGGUUAGGCUUGGACCAAUUCUUCAGAUGAGAUGAUCUGACUCUAACCUCACUUAUGUUAAUAGCAGAAUCUCCCCAACUGCAAAGCAAAUCCUACAACACUGAGCACGUGUUAAUUGUUUAAGAUCAGAUGAUGUUUAAUGCUAAUGACAUUUUUUUCAAUUUUAAUUUGAAAGAACUUUCAUAAAUUUAUUUGAAGACCCCAAAUUUUGUCAAUCUUGCACACUAGUCUUCUUGUAAGUAGGAGAUGCGUUGGAAAGAAAGUGGGUCUCCCGCCAAAUGGAUCUCUUGAGAGGAUCAGCAUGUGUGGGAAAAUAAUGUCUUGGGUUCCUUAAACUUAACUUAUAUAGCACAUGAUUCAGUAGGAGUUUUUGUGACUCGUUAUAGGUGUAACUCUGUGACUGAGAGUAUUUGCAAUGGGGUUCCUAUGAUCAGCAGGCCUUUCUUUGGAGUUCAAGGGACAACUGCAAGUAUGAUGGACGAUGUUUGGGAGAUUGGGUUGAUAAUAGAAGGAUAGAGGGGGAAGAAGAUUGAGGAACAACUUCACUUGCUUAAAAGCUUGAAUCUGAUUCCUGCAGGAAGAGGGGAAGAAGAUUAGAAGCAAUGCCCUUAAUGUGAAGGAGACCGUGCAAGAUGCAGUGAGGCCUGAAAGGCAACCGGUCUAGGAAGGUAAAUUGCUUUCCUGCACCCCCAAAGCGUUUUGGGGUCACGGGGUUACAUAAAAUUUGAAUUUAAACAUCUUAUCAUCAAUUCUUUUGUGCGUGGUAUCAGAAAAACUUGUGCCCAGUCUCUUUAAAUUAAAUAAAAGAAUGACCUCCGUCUAGUCUCUUUUCGGUUGUUAUUGGACAUUUGUUCUUCCAUAAU